AUGUCCUACAUCAUCCACGGGCUAGACCAAGACUACCAGCCCCUUGUCUCUUCCUUGGAUGCCUGCGUCACUCCGGUAACCCUUGACAAACUUUUUGCCAUGCUUAGCAACUUUUAUCAGCGCAUGGCGCAGUACCAAGGCUCCGGUGGCGGCUUCAAGUCGUCGGCAAACUCCGUCUCGAGAGGAUGCGGUGGCGGCUCUCGCUCUCGUGCCUCCUCUCGUGGCAAGGGGAGUGUCGGUGUCAAAACUGGCGGAUCUCGGGUAGGGGGUCCCGAACUGUGUGUCUAG
rnacentral:rRNA from 1 species